AUUAGUUAGUUGGCGGGGUAACGGCCCACCAAGACAACGAUGGAUAGGGGUUCUGAGAGGAAGGUCCCCCACAUUGGAACUGAGACACGGUCCAAACUCCUACGGGAGGCAGCAGUGAGGAAUAUUGGUCAAUGGACGAGAGUCUGAACCAGCCAAGUAGCGUGAAGGAUGACUGCCCUAUGGGUUGUAAACUUCUUUUAUAUGGGAAUAAAACGUUCCACGUGUGGGAUUUUGUAUGUACCAUAUGAAUAAGGAUCGGCUAACUCCGUGCCAGCAGCCGCGGUAAUACGGAGGAUCCGAGCGUUAUCCGGAUUUAUUGGGUUUAAAGGGAGCGUAGGUGGAUUGUUAAGUCAGUUGUGAAAGUUUGCGGCUCAACCGUAAAAUUGCAGUUGAAACUGGCAGUCUUGAGUACAGUAGAGGUGGGCGGAAUUCGUGGUGUAGCGGUGAAAUGCUUAGAUAUCACGAAGAACUCCGAUUGCGAAGGCAGUUCACUGGACUGCAACU
rnacentral:rRNA from 1 species